GCACUCUGUGGCUUCCGGGGCUGGGCUAGAAAAGCAUUCUGUAGCUUCUGUGUGGUCUCCUGGAUGGUACACGGGGCAGGCCGGCCGCCACACUGCGGGGACACUCAGACAGCCCCCGUGAAGGCCCACGUGGGGAGAAACUGAUGACCCCGCCAGCCACCAGCACCAACUUAUUUGCCAGUCAUGUGGGUUGGCCACGUGGAAGUGGAUCCUCCAGCCCCUGUCAGACCCUCCCUGACGUCCACCUGCAGUCCCCUGAGAAACCCCAAGGCAGAAGUGCCCAGCCACGCUGCUCCUGCAUUCCCGACCACAGAAACUGUGAGAAAUACGAAGUGAUUAUUGCCGCUUUACGCCGCUAAGCUUCAGGGUAAUUUGUUACACAACACUAAAUAACUAAUACGGCUGAUUACUAAUUACGGUUGAUUACGUUUCUCCUAAGCUUCUAAGACGGCUGCCCAGGAUCCUAGCCUCCAGGUUACUAAUGCCUCAUGGGAUGCCGUCCCCUUGAGUGUGGACUGGACACAGUGACUUGCUUCUGAUAAAAGAACAAGGCACACCUGAUGGGGUGUCACUCUGAGCUCAUGUUUCUAGAAGACUCUGGCUUCCAUUAUGCUCGCCUCUCUUGCUCCCUCCCUGGCUCUGAGGAAAGCCAGCUGCCAUGUCGUGAGCUGCCCUGUGGAGAAGCCCAUGUAGCCAAGACCAGAUGGACGUCCCCAGCCAACAGCCCGUGAGGAACCAAGACCAAGAGUCCAGCAACCUGUGAGGGGCAGAAUCUCGCCGGCAGCCACGCAGGUGUACAAGAACCCCCCAGGCUCCGGUUCCCAAGGAGCCCUCCUGGCACGGAGGGGAGCCACAGAGGGACCAGACUGCUCGGGCAGCACCGGCCAGAGAGCCGACCUGUAGACUGAGGAAGAGGCUCUUGGGCGCUGGCACAUGGUGGGUGCUUGAUGCAACCCUGACCCUGCAGCUGUCGGGGUUCUUGGCCUCAUUAGCUUCAUGGCAGCCACUGUUGUCACGACAUCCUCAGGGCACUGCCCGGAUCUGGGAGGACCUCGGGAGGAUGCUGCUCUUCAGAGAUGGGAAGCUUCGGUUUGUGCAGUCAGCCCUGCUUUGCUGGGGGCUUCCUGAAGGAACGUUCCCUGGAUCUGGUCACCCCUCGUCGGGUGAGGCUGAGCCUGAGCUCUGCAUGGCACCCUGCCCGGAACAGCAACAGCUCGCUCAACUUUCUGGAAGUCUCCCGCUCUCCCUCUGCGUGCCGAGAGGCUCUGCCUUGCUUGGGUGUUUAUUUCUUGCUCUACGAAGUGAUGAUUUAAUUCUUGCCUGGGAUAUCAUUCAGCCCAAGUUCGUGCUGAAGUGAAGCAUAUUUCAGCACCCACCAAUUUCCAUAUAGAUAAAAAAAGAAAAAAAACCCAAGAAAGAAGGGAAACAACCUCUACCAGCAUCUUUGCAAACUAUGCAUUUGAAACCUGUUUCUUGAAGAUGGAUUGCUCCAUCAGGCUGCUAAGAGGCUUUUCUUGACUUGUCAACAGUUUUAUACCCCCACAAACAUGCGUGGCUAUAAAUUAUUCAUUGCCCAGUUAGUGGUUAAAAAAAAAAAAAAAAGGAUGCCUGGGACCGAGGUACAUUCUUAAUUCUCCCUCUGCUUUUCAGAUCCAACUUGUUUUUUUCCUUCCUGCUGCUGGAAAGUAGAAAUAACUGCAAAUCUCUUGACUGGGAGGUUCAGGGCUCUGGCGUAAUGAGAAGGUCCUGCUGAGCCCUGUGUGAGCUCUGCUGGGAGGGUGGGGUAGUCAUCUGUGGGACCCUGGGGUUCUCAAAUACAUGCGGAGGUGAGAAAUAGAGGUGCUGUGGGCUUUCCUCCUCCUCCUCCUCAUCUUCUUCUUCUUCUUCUUCUUCUUUUUUUUUUUUUUUUUCCUGUUGGCAGGAACUCCAGGGUUUUCAAAAAAGCAGAGAGGAGACUUGAUUCUAUUCUAGACCCAGCCAUUUCAGAGACCAUGGCUGGACAGGAUCUCAGCCCUCCCAUGCUCACCGGCUUCCACCCUCCUUGGGUCCCUCCCAAGGUGGGGGCCCCUGUCAGGAGAUAGCACGUUUCUUGUCCUUCUCCUUGUGCCCACCCUCUCUAUGUGCCCAGCAUACCCUUGGGUCUCCCCUCCGCACCCCAAGUGGCCUCCUCCUCCAGCAGGAUUCUCAAGUCUACCAGCACCCAUGGGACGUGGAUAGAGGUGGGGGGGGGGCUAUGCUUCAGGGUUUGGGGCCUGUAUUGGCCAUGACAAAGCUGCCCAAAGUGGAUGCUUAAAACAACAGAAGUCCUUUCUCUUACAGUCCUGGAGGCCAGGAGUCAGAAAUGAAGCUGCCUGCAGGGCCGUGCUCCGUCCAGCCUCUGCCUCUCCCUCUCCCACCAGGAACCCCAGUCACAUGGGAUGAUGGGCCUACGCUACUCUUCAUCUUAAUGUCACCUGUUACCGCCGCAAAGACCCAUUGCAAUCCGAAGGGUCCGAAGAGGGAAGAGCCUCCAGCGAUCGGGCCCGGAGCAGAAAUCAGAAGAGUCAAAAGGCCAAAGAGUUGGCAACCUACUGAGAGCUUCUCGUAUAACAUUCUGGCACGUUGUUAUCCCGAAAGACUGUCUUUUGCGCCAGUUCGGAGGCACAGUAUCAAAGGCCCCUUCUCCAUCUCUGGUUGUGGAUGGGCCAGACUCUGGUGUGGGCCUGAAACCUUGUCCCUUCAUAUGAGCAUAGAGAGAAAAUUCAGUUGAUGGUAGGACUGACCCACCUUGAAUGGGAACCAGAUGUCCCUGGAGAAUAACUGCCUUGGAUACUGUCUAGUGGCCUGGUUUGAGAGCCCGGUGUCCACCUGCCACUGGUAGAAGGACAUGUGGCUUCUUGAGUGGCCCCCUGCUCCACCUUGACCCCCGCUUCCUCCCCCUUACUCACGUUGUCCCCGGGCACUAGGGACGUUGCUGGCAGUUUCUCUGGGUGGACUCUGGGAAGGCCUCUGGGGUCCCCUGCUCAGUCUGGAGAGAGCGGUUGCAUGCUGGUGUCUUGCUGAGCAAGCCAGUGUCACGUGGGGAGUGACGAUGGGACUGGACAUGGGGUUGUUUUCCGCCAGCCCUACUCCCUAAUGUGGGGAGAAGGAGUCAUGAUUUCAUUUCCAAAUAUUUUGUAUGUGGAACGCUGAAGAAGAGACAUGGCUGGGUGUUUGGGCUUUCAGAGACUUCCAGAUGCUGUGUCUGCAAACCCCAGGGGACAUUAGGUUUUGUCGAGGCCAUCUGGUGCCCAAGUUCUGUCACCUCUUACCAGCCCAGCUAUGGCGAAGGGGAAGGCUCCAUUCUGCAGACAGCAGACCAAAAAGGCAGGGGCCCAAUGGUCCUGACUCAUCUCGUUGGAUGUGGCUGUUAUUUCGGGGUGACCCACCUUUGAUUCAAUUGGAGUUUAAGUCAGAUUAAGCAGCUUUUACUCGGAGCUGCGGGAGCUCCUCUGAGACCGGCCCCAACCCUUCACGUGUGGCAGUGAGGCAGUGAGGCUGUUUGGAGCACAGGAGCUCGGCGGGAGCUCUUGGCCCAUGAUGGCUGACGGAGACAGAAACUAAGUGCCAAGCACCCCACGUCCAAUAUUUCAUGUACUUCUCACGCACCCAUUGCACAGGUGAGGGGACCCUGGCUCCAAGAGACCAAGUGAUCUACCUGGGUCACCUGCCUAGUAGGUGGCAGAGUCUCCCAGGCCCAGAGUUCCUGAAUGGGAGGAUGUCUUCUUCAGGCGGCUAGCUUCCCCUUCCCUCUGAUCGCAUAGUGCGUGGUGGUGGCCGAGUCCAGAUGCUCUCCGGGCAAAUGAGGUUCCUUCCCAGGGCUGAGGAUCUGAGUAGAAGCCUUUGGAGUGGAGCACCGCCUCCUCCUUGGCUGUCUGGGGGGCGGCACGUGCGAUGCAUCUAGGUAUGGGCCAUAUUGAUGGAGGAACUGUGGACCCCAAGAUGGGCAGCCCGCCCUUGGGGUACCUGCUGGGGAAUUACUCAGAGGAAGAAACCACAGCAGGGACCCCAGGGAACAGGCUCUCCAGGGAGUGUUGUGUGAAAAUUCUCUUUUCAUUCAAAGGCCAAAGAGUCAAAUAAAAGAAAAGUCUUCUGAAAUGAGGGUCUUCCUGGGAGCACUUGGAAGCGUUUUGCAGAAAUCCAGACUGUUGUAAAGAGAAACAAGAGUAGCUAGGUGUCCAAAAAAUAAAUGUAUUCAUUAAUCCCAUGGUCUUUUCUAUUAUCCAGGUCAUUUAGUUUCAUUUUUGGGGGUAUUGUUUCUUUCUUAAGACUGGGUUCUUUGAAAUAAUAUGGAAAUGACU